rnacentral:rRNA from 1 species
CAGCACCUCAAGUGGUCAGGAUGAUUAUUGGGUCUAAAGCAUCCGUAGCCGGCGCUGUAAGUUUUCGGUUAAAUCUGUACGCUCAACGUACAGGCUGCCGGGAAUACUGCAGCGCUAGGGAGUGGGAGAGGUAGACGGUACUCGGUAGGAAGGGGUAAAAUCCUUUGAUCUAUUGAUGACCACCUGUGGCGAAGGCGGUCUACCAGAACACGUCCGACGGUGAGGGAUGAAAGCUGGGGGAGCAAACCGGAUUAGAUACCCGCGUAGUCC